UACGGAGGGUGCAAGCGUUAUCCGGAUUCACUGGGGUUAAAGGGUGCGUAGGCGGACACUUAAGUCCGUGGUGAAAUCUCUGGGCUUAACCCAGAAACUGCCAUGGAUACUAUUUGUCUUGAAUGUUGUGGAGGUUAGCGGAAUAUGUCAUGUAGCGGUGAAAUGCAUAGAUAUGACAUAGAACACCAAUUGCGAAGGCAGCUGGCUACACAAAUAUUGACGCUGAGGCACGAAAGCGUGGGGAUCAAACAGG
rnacentral:rRNA from 1 species